GGAAAGUCUAAGUACUUUCUGCUGUGAGAAAAAUAUUCCAGGAUGAAGGGAUGAAAGGGCGGCUGGGACGCCAGGCGGGCAGUGGGCGAACAUCAGCCCCUCCUUUGUGCCGCGAUUUGGAAAGCUUCUUGAACAGGGCCUCAGCUGAAAGAUGAGCCAGGAUUCUGAGCCCAAGACCCACACUGAAAGGACCACCAUGGUUCAAUGAUCCAGCAGGGCAACAGGUAUCCGACAGCAGAACCAGAAGAUAAAAUAAAUACAGAAAGUUAUUCAAUUAGUGAUUGGAAGGAAAGAGGUGAUCGAGUAUUCAGAGACUCCUGGAAACUCUCCUUGAUGGACAAAUGUAGGAGAGCGGCACGUUGAGGGUUUCCAAGGCUCUCGCCCCAUCUCUACUUGGUGCACGAGUGAGACAGUCGAGAUGCUGUUGUAGCCGGCGGCAACCAGUGCCAAGCGGGGCCUAGAAUUGGGGACAGUGAGGUGACCAUGCUUCAAACCACGCAGGGGACCUACCUCCAUUCAGAGACCGCCCGAGGGUGUGUAUAGGUAGAUACACAAACACCAGGCUGCCAAUCAAGCUCUGCUUUCCACCCGGGACAAAGGAAUCACAAAAACAAAAAAAUGUAAGUUUCCCUAGUGGUGCAAUGGAUAAGAAUCUGCCUGUCAAUGCAGGAAGGAGAGACAGGUUCAAUCCCUAGUCUGGGAAGAUUCCAUACUCCGUGAAGCAGCUAAGCCGGUGCACCACAGCUACUGGGCCUGUCCUCUAGAGCCGGGGAGCCACCCAUGCUGAGCCCAGGAGCCCAGCUACUGAAGCCCAGGAGGCUAGGGCCUGUGUUCCACCACGAGAAGCCCAAGAGAGGAGACCCCGCUCGCCACAGCCAGAGAAGCCUGCACAGCAGCAAAGACCCAGGACAGCCUAAACAGAUCAAUAAAUCUCGAAAACAAAGACAAAGCUGUAGGUCCAUCCACAAGUGGAAAUGAUAUUAAGUCGUUGGUCCACAAGUCAAGGAAGAAGGUAGCCUAGGCCGCUGUCAGAGAUGAGCGAACCUACCCGUUGGAGUUUCUGGCGGCUCUGGGGCCCUGACUCUGUGACUCUCAGGCUUUGCACCAGCGGAGGGCUGGAGAAAAUAAAAGCGUUCUGGGUUUGCGCAUCUCUCAGGCGAGAGCCAUAAAAUAUGGAUAUGCAUACGUUGGGUUACACAUUAGCAACUGACAACUGCACAUCAAAAAAAAAAAAAAAGGUGUCCUUCCUCGGCGCAGAACGUGACGGAAGAAUCCGGAACGGUAAAGAAAAAAGAGCUGUGCGCGGGAGAACCGUUUCAUUUCAUUCCUUAUAUGUACAAACAUGAAUAAUUUGACAUGAUGUUUAGACAGUUUCUCCCUAACUUAAGUCUUUUAAUUAAAAUGAAAGGAAGGAAAUAUGCUUUAAAUAUGAAUGCGGGAAGGUGUGGGCUGGCACACUUGCCCACGUGCCCCUCUCCCUCCGUCUUUGGAGAACACAAUAAACUCUCAUCUUCCCGUGCUGUCUUUUCAUAAUGUUUACGGUUGUUGUAGGCACCACAUAACCCGUGCUGUUUGCGAUGCUCCCCAUAUUAAGCGAGAGCCCAUCCCUUCCUCUGCUAUUUACUUUUGUGGCAAAUCAGUCAAUGUAUUUUCCUCGACUCACCAGGCAAUAACGCAGGGCUGCCUGUGGCCGGAAAGGUAAAUGCUAACUUUUCAAACAGUGCCAAACGGCACGCCCCGGGCUGAGCGCCGAGUGAAUGAGAGGAGUAUAUUCCGGGCUGAAAAAUGGGCCCGGAUGUUAGCCCUCAUAAAUUACAUGAUUAUUAAAGUGCUGCGCAGUCCCGCCCAUAUGAUCGCGUUUUACCUUCUGCUGGCUCCCCGCUGACCGCUCCACUUUGUUUUCCGUGCGCUUAACUUGGGAAAUGCUAAACAAGUUGUGAUAUUUACCUGUUUAGGAUCAAAUUGCGAAAUGAUCUGCUUAGUUCUG